GCUGGCAAGUGGCAGAGCCGGAGCCAGAAUGCAGGAUCCGGGCGUCUGGUCUGCAGUAUCUUCCUGACAGCUCCGUUGAGGGAGGGAGCCUGACGUUUUCAGCAGUGGCCAGUCACCAUCCCCAUCUCCAGCUUCAUUUCCAUUCGGAUUUCUCCUUGUGACUAGGACUCAAAGGAUCCCUCAGAGCCGAAGUCCCAUGGAAACUGCAGUUCCCAGAAGCAGCCAUGAAGAGCAUCUCUAGGGGGGAGAAAAGACCAUGGCAUCCGAAGAACAAAGGAAUAAGAAAACCUGUCUUACUCAGGUUACAUCGAUGGGCUGGCCAACCAAUCACACACACUGCAAAAGACACUGAAGAUGGGGUAGCCCUCACUUCCUUUUCCUUUCAGUCUUUCCUUACUCGUGAGUAAACAGAAGGCAGAGUUCUGGCAGAAUGUAUGCACACCUAGAACUGAAAUAAAGACAGAUUAAGUGAAAGAGAUGGACACCUGCUCUGAAUAAUGACCCGGAAUAACAGUGCUGUGUCAGCACACUCCAAAAUUUUAGUCAUUUCCUCAAGAUCAAUGGGAAGAGAAAUAAGCUGUAUUCUUUCAAAGUAGGGUGGAAGAUAAUUUUGAUGAAGACUUCCA